CAGUAAGCACAAUCUUUAUGUGUGUUUGGUUUAUGGUAGUUACAACCUAGAAAGUGCUGAACGCCUUGGCGGUUGUGUUGCAUGUGGCACCAUCGCUCUCUGCUGGUAGGAGGAAGAAGAGGAGUGCCUGCCUGAGUCUGUGAGUCAUGACCUGAGAAGAGCAGGACAGAACUGCAGAUUACUAUGGGACAUUACACACAAGUGGAAGGUGUUAGAUAAUAUGUGAUGUGUACUCCAUCCUAACUUUCAAAGACACAAAAGGAAACAUUAUCUUCCACUCAACAUCAACAUACCACAGUGAUGCAGAGACUGGAUGACUUCAGGAGAGACAUCCACUUCAAAGAUGGAAGAGCAAGAAAGGCGUACAGCUGUCACUCCUCCAUAGCAAUUCUGAAAUCUCACAGGGAGAAAUGUUGGCAGUUGUGCCUAGUUUGGAAAAAGAAUUUUUGUGAGCAAGCCUAUUACUUCUCCUUGAAAGCUGCUUCCCACCCUACUGUACUUAUUGCUUAGCAGAAGCAGUUCCCAGGUCUAUUGCCUGUAGCUUUUCAAUGGCUUGUACUCUCUUGUCUGAAUGUAUCUUCCCUGUUUCAUCAGAAUAAUAAAAGAUGUG